GAUGAACGCUAGCGGCAGGCUUAACACAUGCAAGUCGAGGGGUAUAGUUCUUCGGAACUAGAGACCGGCGCACGGGUGCGUAACGCGUAUGCAAUCUACCUUUUGCAGAGGGAUAGCCCAGAGAAAUUUGGAUUAAUACCUCAUGGUAUGUGAGAAUGGCAUCAUUUUCACAUUAAAGACACAACGGCAAAAGAUGAGCAUGCGUCCCAUUAGCUUGUUGGUAAGGUAACGGCUUACCAAGGCAACGAUGGGUAGGGGUCCUGAGAGGGAGAUCCCCCACACUGGUACUGAGACACGGACCAGACUCCUACGGGAGGCAGCAGUGAGGAAUAUUGGACAAUGGGCGCAAGCCUGAUCCAGCCAUGCCGCGUGCAGGAUGACGGUCCUAUGGAUUGUAAACUGCUUUUGUACAGGAAGAAACACUGGUUCGUGAACCAGCUUGACGGUACUGUAAGAAUAAGGAUCGGCUAACUACGUGCCAGCCGCCGCAGUAAGAC
rnacentral:rRNA from 1 species